CUUCAUAGUUUACAGUAAAAACCCCACCCUAGACUAAACAAAAAACUUAUCCACAUUUAGUAAAGUACAGUGGUACAUGCAUAAUGUACAGCCCAUUUGCUAUAUUAGACGAGUUUUCAGCAUUUCGGGAAUCUUCCUUGUUGGAAUCUUCAAUAACUUCAAUAUAUUUAUGAUCAUUGGAAUUUGAUCUUUCAUCUGUUAC